AAACUUACCUGGCAGGGGAAACACCAUGAUCAAGAAGGUGAUUUUCCAGGGUUAGACUCAUCNAUUGCACNCCAGGUGUGCUGACCCCUGCAAUUUCCCUAAAUGUGGGAAAGUCAACUGUAUAAUUUGUGAUAAUGGGAGACUACACUUGCACUUUCCCC
rnacentral:snRNA from 1 species